AACGCGAAGAACCUUACCUGGGCUAGAAUGCAGAAUGACCGAUCCUGAAAGGGGUUUUUGUAGCAAUACACAUUUUGUAAGGUGCUGCAUGGCUGUCGUCAGCUCGUGCCGUGAGGUGUUGGGUUAAGUCCCGCAACGAGCGCAACCCCCAUCACUAGUUGCCAUCAGGUCAAGCUGGGAACUCUAGUGAAACUGCCGUCGUAAGACGCGAGGAAGGAGGGGAUGAUGUCAAGUCAUCAUGGCCUUUAUGCCCAGGGCUACACACGUGCUACAAUGGGAGAGACAAAGGGCAGCUACCUAGCGAUAGGACGCUAAUCCCAAAAACUCUUUCUCAGUUCAGAUUGCAGUCUGCAACUCGACUGCAUGAAGCUGGAAUCGCUAGUAAUCGUAUAUCAGCAAUGAUACGGUGAAUACGUUCCCGGGCCUUGUA
rnacentral:rRNA from 1 species